CCAGAACCUCCAAUUGAUGCACCAUGUGAAGUCAUGUUGACAUUUUCUUUUCUCUUUGGUAAGGUUAUGGAAUAAAUUUUGUUUCCCCUAGUAUUGUGUUAGUGGUGUAUAUAUUCACUAAACAAGGUUCUUCCAUACCUCUGUUUCCAUAUGCCGCUGCACCAUCAUCCACUGCCAUGUUGAGGUGGUGGAGAUUAGCAGGCAGCAGUCUUUGUGGCGUUGAUGGGGAGGUGUCUUCGCGGUGCUGAUUGGGAGGUUGAGACCUCGUGGAAUCCAUGUUCUCAGGCGGAGGCUAAGUUGGCGAUUUGCCACUGCAGUUGUGAAUCAGCAUAAGAGAUGGCACACUUCCGGUGUAGGUGCCGAGGGCCUCGCUAGAUCCAGAUGGAUUGUUGGAGCCGCAAUCUCGCUCGCCACUCUGCAGGGGUUGUUAAGGUUGAUGGCGAGCCUCUACAGGGUGAUGUAGUGCCAUUUUUUCUUUGAAAAAACUCAGACUUUAUUCAUUUGUAAUAAGUAAUAAGUACAUCAUUUGUGAGGAGCAUUACAAUUUCAUUUAAAGGCUCCUCAAACCAAUCGGAAGUCAAAGAAAAU
rnacentral:lncRNA from 1 species